rnacentral:rRNA from 1 species
GACGAACGCUGGCGGCGUGCUUAACACAUGCAAGUCGAACGGUAAGGCCCCUUCGGGGGUCCACGAGUGGCGAACGGGUGAGUAACACGUGAGCAACCUGCCCUUGACUUUGGGAUACCAGCUGGAAACAGCUGCUAAUACCGGAUAUGACCUCUUCUCUCAUGGGUUGAGGUGGAAAGCUCCGGCGGUCAGGGAUGGGCUCGCGGCCUAUCAGCUUGUUGGUGAGGUAAUGGCUCACCAAGGCUUCGACGGGUAGCCGGCCUGAGAGGGCGACCGGCCACACUGGGACUGAGAUACGGCCCAGACUCCUACGGGAGGCAGCAGUGGGGAAUAUUGCACAAUGGGCGCAAGCCUGAUGCAGCAACGCCGCGUGCGGGAUGACGGCCUUCGGGUUGUAAACCGCUUUCAGUAGGGACGAAGCUAACGUGACGGUACCUACAGAAGAGGGACCGGCUAACUACGUG